GGCAGUGUGGUGCAGUGGUUAGAGUGCCAGGCCGGGACUGGAGGACCUGAGUUCAAAUCUCUGCUCAGGCA